rnacentral:lncRNA from 1 species
GGAGACUCUUCCCCGGGUCGUCAGGGCUAAAGGCCCCUUGGCCAAGGCCUGCUGCCAGAGUGAGGGGCCCUUCUGCUUUGCGAGGAUUUAAAGGGAAGCCGCCUGGCUUAAUUUCGCCCUCGUCUGUCUCCUUGCAAACCUUCGCUCGCUGACCAUACUUUUCAUUGGGCACAGCAUGUGGGGUAGGAGGAAUUAGAAGCGCGCAGUCUGGGUGGGAUGACAGAUGGGAGGCUUUUGGAAGUAAUUAGCAAAUACCUAUCACCGAAUAAUAACACAGCUGAGGGCUGGGCAGUCCCCAAGCGCUUCCUGCACUUGAGGUUUAGUUGCCCCAGAGGGAAAAAGGGUCUGUAGACGGCUUCUGUUUUCUCUCUACUCCUCCACCCCACCCUCCCUCCUGCGUCUUUGGACUUGCUCGCUGCUGCCUUGAACUGCUCCAGAUGCCGAGCUCGGAGCGCUUCUCCUGAGCUCACAAACUUUCUGUAGCUCUCCAGAUUCAAGGACCUAAGUCGAAAUUCCUCGUCUUGCCCUCAAGGCCCUGUACAGAGCACUGAUCUGACUUCUCCCGGACCCAGAGCCCACCCCACUCGCUGGCCGGCAUGCGCCCUGGCUGGCUGGCCCCCCCCCAACGUCACUUGUA